rnacentral:rRNA from 1 species
CCUACGGGAGGCAGCCGUGAGGAAUAUUGGUCAAUGGACGAGAGUCUGAACCAGCCAAGUAGCGUGAAGGAUGACUGCCCUAUGGGUUGUAAACUUCUUUUAUAUGGGAAUAAAAUGUUCCACGUGUGGCAUUUUGUAUGUACCAUAUGAAUAAGGAUCGGCUAACUCCGUGCCAGCAGCCGCGGUAAUACGGAGGAUCCGAGCGUUAUCCGGAUUUAUUGGGUUUAAAGGGAGCGUAGGUGGAUUGUUAAGUCAGUUGUGAAAGUUUGCGGCUCAACCGUAAAAUUGCAGUUGAAACUGGCAGUCUUGAGUACAGUUGAGGUGGGCGGAAUUCGUGGUGUAGCGGUGAAAUGCUUAGAUAUCACGAAGAACUCCGAUUGCGAAGGCAGUUCACUAGACUGCAACUGACACUGAGGCUCGAAAGUGUGGGUAUCAAACAGGGUUAGAUACCCGGGUAGUC